UACGUAGGGUGCAAGCGUUGUUCGGAUUCACUGGGCGUAAAGGGUGCGUAGGCGGUCGGGUAAGUCUGCUGUGAAAGUCCAGGGCUCAACCCUGGAAUGCCGGUGGAAACUGUCGAGCUAGAGUCCGGAAGAGGCGAGUGGAAUUCCUGGUGCAGCGGUGAAAUGCGCAGAUAUCAGGAGGAACACCAAUGGCGAAGGCAGCUCGCUGGGACGGUACUGACGCUGAGACGCGAAAGCGUGGGGAGCAAACAGG
rnacentral:rRNA from 1 species